rnacentral:rRNA from 2 species
GUUUGGUGGCGAUAGCGAAGAGGUCACACCCGUUCCCAUACCGAACACGGAAGUUAAGCUCUUCAGCGCCGAUGGUAGUCGGGGGUUUCCCCCUGUGAGAGUAGGACGCCGCCAAGCA